rnacentral:rRNA from 1 species
UUAUUUUAAACGGCCGCAGUAUAUUGACUGUGCUAAGGUAGCAUAAUAGUUUGUCUUUUAAUUAAAGUCUUGCAUGAAUGAUUUAAUAUUUAUUAACUUUCUUUUAAAAAUUUAUAGAAUUUAAUUAUUAAGUUAAAAGGCUUAAAUUUACAAAAUAGACGAUAAGACCCUAUAAAAUUUUACUUUAUCAUAAUUAAAAACUAUUGAUUUAUUUUGAAAUAAAUUAAAAUUAUUUGAUUAGUUUGACUGGGGCGGUAAAAGAUUAUUUAAUUACAACUUUUAUACUGUAAUAUUAGUAAGAUAAAUUUUAAAGAUCCUUUGAAAGAUUAAUUAAUUAAAUUACUUUAGGGAUAACAGCGUAAUUUCUUUGGAAAGCUCUUAUUGAUAAAGAA